rnacentral:rRNA from 1 species
UACGUAGGGUGCGAGCGUUGUCCGGAAUUACUGGGCGUAAAGAGCUCGUAGGUGGUUUGUCGCGUUGUCCGUGAAAACUCACAGCUCAACUGUGGGCGUGCGGGCGAUACGGGCAGACUGGAGUACUGCGAGGGGAGACUGGAAGUUCCUGGUGUAGCGGUGGAAUGCGCAGAUAUCAGGAGGAACACCGGUAGCGAAGGCGGGUCUCUGGGCAGUAACUGACGCUGAGGAGCGAAAGCGUGGGGAGCGAACAGG